CACGUAGGAGGCGAGCGUUGUCCGGAAUCAUUGGGCGUAAAGAGCGCGCAGGCGGCUUGGCAAGUCGGGUGUGAAAUCCCGGGGCUCAACCCCGUGACUGCAUCCGAUACUGUCAGGCUAGAGGUAGGUAGGGGAGAUCGGAAUUCCUGGUGUAGCGGUGAAAUGCGCAGAUAUCAGGAGGAACACCGGUGGCGAAGGCGGAUCUCUGGGCCUUACCUGACGCCCAGGCGCGAAAGCUAGGGGAGCGAACAGG
rnacentral:rRNA from 1 species